rnacentral:rRNA from 1 species
UACGAAGGGGGCUAGCGUUGCUCGGAAUUACUGGGCGUAAAGCGCACGUAGGCGGUCUUUUAAGUCGGUGGUGAAAUCCUGGAGCUCAACUCCAGAACUGCCUUCGAUACUGGAAGACUUGAGUCCGGGAGAGGUGAGUGGAACUGCGAGCGUAGAGGUGAAAUUCGUAGAUAUUCGCAAGAACACCAGUGGCGAAGGCGGCUCACUGGCCCGGUACUGACGCUGAGGUGCGAAAGCGUGGGGAGCAAACAGG